rnacentral:tRNA from 1 species
GCCGCUGUGGUGAAACUGGUAGACGCGCACGACUCAAAAUCGUGUGGGAGCAAUCCCAUGUCGGUUCGACUCCGACCAGCGGCA